CUGCGGCAAUGUUCUUUGAACAUUGGGUAGGGGAGCGUUCUGUAAGCCGUUGAAGGUGUGUUGUAAAGCAUGCUGGAGGUAUCAGAAGUGCGAAUGCUGACAUGAGUAACGACAAGGGGGGUGAAAACCCUCCCCGCCGGAAGACCAAGGGUUCCUGUCCAACGUUAAUCGGGGCAGGGUAAGUCGACCCCUAAGGCGAGGC
rnacentral:rRNA from 13 species